AUAGAGUUGCUGCCAGCUAUUACGUCGUCCUUAUGCUUUUUGUCUUUGUGACGGAGAUAACUUGUUGCUGUGCUGUCAUCGCCGAAAGGCGUCGUCAUGAGACAGAGCAUCGGACUGUGUGCGCCAUUCUCUCUGCCCUUCAGGAGGGAUCGUUAUUGCGCUGAGUAUCGACUCAGCUGAAAAUGCAUUUCGAGGUUCUGCAGGUAACACCUGAAGAGGUCAGUGCGCAUGCGCAGGUUCGUUCGAGGGGGCAUUCACCAAGAACUCGGGCAGCAGCGCCCGGCCGAGCGUCCUCACCGACGAGACACCGCGUGAUUGGACAAGCGUGCCGCGUCCCGAGUGCACGUCACUUCCGUCUGUGUCUCGGUGCGCGCAUCCGGUUCCAGCCUGGGUGUUCUCGGGCGCUAGCAUCUUGGACGGCUUCUGCCAGCGCUGGGAGCCUCGCAGCCAGUGCCUCGAAGCCGGCGGAAACGCGUUCGCCUCUCUCGCCGAGUGUCAGAGGACGUGUCACAACAGCACGCGUGCCAGUGACCGGUGCGGCGCCGUGCGCACUCGAGCCUGCCAUGACGGGGAUCGUCGGCUCGAGUACGUGCUGGGCCUCGCCCUGUCCCCCACCA